ACUCCUACGGGAGGCAGCAGUGGGGAAUAUUGCACAAUGGGCGAAAGCCUGAUGCAGCGACGCCGCGUGAGGGACGACGGCCUUCGGGUUGUAAACCUCUUUCAGUAGGGAACAAGGCAUCAUUUUGUGGUGUUGAGGGUACUUGCAGAAGAAGCACCGGCUAACUACGUGCCAGCAGCCGCGGUAAUACGUAGGGUGCAAGCGUUAUCCGGAAUUAUUGGGCGUAAAGAGCUCGUAGGCGG
rnacentral:rRNA from 1 species